CCUACGGGCGGCAGCAGUGAGGAAUAUUGGUCAAUGGGAGAGAUCCUGAACCAGCCAAGCCGCGUGAGGGAAGACGGCCCUAUGGGUUGUAAACCUCUUUUGUCGGAGAACAAAACCCGGGGCGUGUCCCGGACUGCGUGUAUCCGAAGAAAAAGCAUCGGCUAACUCCGUGCCCGCAGCCGCGGUAAUACGGAGGAUGCGAGCGUUAUCCGGAUUUGUUGGGUUUAAAGGGUGCGUAGGCGGUCCGUUAAGUCAGCGGUAAGAUUGCGGGGCUCAACCCCGUCGAGCCGUUGAAACUGGCAGACUUGAGUUGGCGAGAAGUACGCGGAAUGCGCGGUGUAGCGGUGAAAUGCAUAGAGAUCGCGCAGAACUCCGAUUGCGAAGGCAGCGUACCGGCGCCAGACUGACGCUGAGGCACGAAAGCGUGGGGAUCGAACAGGAUUAGAUACCCGGGUAGUC
rnacentral:rRNA from 1 species